rnacentral:rRNA from 1 species
GACGAACGCUGGCGGCGUGCUUAACACAUGCAAGUCGAACGGAAAGGCCCUGCUUUUGUGGUGUGCUCGAGUGGCGCACGUGUGAGUAACACGUGAGUAACCUGCCCCUGACUUUGGGAUAACUUCAGGAAACUGGGGCUAAUACCGGAUAGGAGCUCCUGCUGCAUGGUGGGGGUUGGAAGGUUUCGGCGGUUGGGGUUGGACUCGCGGCUGAUCAGCUUGUUGGUGGGGUAGUGGCUUACCAAGGCUUUGACGGGUAGCCGGCCUGAGAGGGUGACCGGCUACAUUGGGACUGAGAUACGGCCCAGACUCCUACGGGAGGAAGAAGUGGGGAAUAUUGCACAAUGGGCGGAAGCCUGAUGCAGCAACGCCGCGUGCGGGAUGACGGCCUUCGGGUGGUAAACCGCUUUCGCCUGUGACGAAGCGUGAGUGACGGUAAUGGGUAAAGAAGCACCGGCUAACUACGUG